rnacentral:rRNA from 1 species
AUACGUAGGGUGCGAGCGUUGUCCGGAAUUACUGGCGGAAAGAGCUCGGAGGGGGUUUGUCGCGGCGGCUGUUGAAAUCCGGGGGCUUAAUCCGGGCGUGCCGGCGGUACGGGCAUAACUUGAGUACUGGAGGGGAGACUGGAAUUCCUGGGGUAGGGGGGAAAUGCGCAGAUAUCAGGAGGAACACCGGUGGCGAAGGCGGGUCUCUGGGCAGUAACUGACGCUGAGGAGCGAAAGCAUGGGUAGCGAACAGGAUUAGAUACCCUGGUAGUCCAUGCCGUAAACGGUGGGCGCUAGGUGUAGGGGUCUUCCACGACUUCUGUGCCGUAGCUAACGCAUUAAGCGCCCCGCCUGGGGAGUACGGCCGCAAGGCUAAAACUCAAAGGAAUUGACGGGG